GCGGAGGUGGCCAAGCGGCUAAGGCGGUCGGCUGCAACCCGGCUUAUCAUGGGUUCGAGUCCCAUCCUCCGCU
rnacentral:tRNA from 1 species